AGUGAGUGUUGUUGUUAGUGAGUGUUGUUGUUAGUGUUGUUGUUAGUGGUGUUGUUAGUGGUGGUGGUGUUAGUGGCUGUAGUGGUGUAACACAGCUGCAGUGUAACUAAGACCUGGUCUCACUAACACAAGAGAGCGUCAACAAGACGACAGUGGUCGUAGAUAAAGAGUGAAUCAGCGUCAGGAUGAGUGGCGGUGUUUAUGGUGGAGAUGAAGUGGGCGCAUUGGUGUUUGAUCCUGGUCAUUCCUCAUUGCGUGUUGGAUAUGCUGGUGAAGAUUCACCAAAAUUUGAUAUUCCCUCAUGGGUAGGGAUUGUUGAGGACCCAGAGACCAACGAAAAGAAGUAUUUUGUAGAUACUGUAGCUCUCCAUGUUCCUCGCAAAGGUUGUGAGGUGGUGAACUACU